AGAGUAGGUCUCUCGGUUUCGGCUGCCAGUAGCUGGAAUCAAACUGCCCGAUGCGGCUGCUGUAAAGAGCAGUGGUCGUGAGCGAUUAGGGAAAAGGCCGUCAAGAACGGUCAGG
rnacentral:ncRNA from 1 species